GACGAACGCUGGCGGCGUGCUUAACACAUGCAAGUCGAACGGAAAGGCCCUGCUUUUGUGGGGUGCUCGAGUGGCGAACGGGUGAGUAACACGUGAGUAACCUGCCCUUGACUUUGGGAUAACUUCAGGAAACUGGGGCUAAUACCGGAUAGGAGCUCCUGCUGCAUGGUGGGGGUUGGAAAGUUUCGGCGGUUGGGGAUGGACUCGCGGCUUAUCAGCUUGUUGGUGGGGUAGUGGCUUACCAAGGCUUUGACGGGUAGCCGGCCUGAGAGGGUUACCGGCCACAUUGGGACUGAGAUACGGCCCAGACUCCUACGGGAGGCAGCAGUGGGGAAUAUUGCACAAUGGGCGGAAGCCUGAUGCAGCAACGCCGCGUGCGGGAUAACGGCCUUCGGGUUGUAAACCGCUUUCGCCUGUGACGAAGCGUGAGUGACGGUACUGGGUAAAGAAGCACCGGCUAACUACGUG
rnacentral:rRNA from 1 species